UCUGGGGUGAUCUUUUUCCCAGCAUCAGUAAAAGUUAUUGUAAGAGGGUUGCACCAGCCCUUGGAAGGCUCAGUGUUCUGGCAUUCCUGGGUUAGAGUACUGUUUCUGUUAGAAUUGUGCCACCCCUUUUUUACUGUGAUAUAAUCCCAAGAGGAGGUAGGUUUCCAGUAUGCGUCUCCUGUGGUUUCACACCCCCAGGAGGCACAAUAGAAUUGAUCCCUGUAUCCACACUUAUAGUUUAGGGAGCGAUCUCUGUGGGAUCCGGGACAGACAUAAAAGUCAGUUUCCCUAAUGUUGGUGCGUCGAUGGACAGUGUCACAACCGACAUAUCUUUCAUUAAAACUAGACCCAUGAGGGGCUUCAAUUAGGGGGGUGUUCCAAGGCGAAGUGGACUGUUCAAGGUGCCCUUGUAAUAAUUGUUCCUGCACCAACUGUAGGGCCGCUUGAACCUUUUCUUGAGGCAUGGACCACUGAUCGAUCCAGACUGGAUCAUUUGACUUCCAAGAUAUUUUAUCAGCCUGGAGUGCAGGAGGAACAGCGGUCUCUAUGAAAAAAGGUCUGCUCCUAAACCUCCUCUAUCUGUUUUGGGCGUGGGAGUCAAGGGUUCUGUGAUUCCCUGUUCAUUUCUACCUAAUCCUUUUCCAGGGAGGAAUCCUGUCCUUAACAUUUGGUUAGUAAUGACCUCAUUGGGACUACACAUCAUCACCCCCAUCUGGGAAAGAAUAUCCCUUCCCCAGAGGUUAACAGGGAGUCCAGAAACUACAAAUGGCCUAACUGUGCCUGUAUUAUUCUCUUUAUCUUUCCAGGUCAGGAGCUUUGAACUUUGGAGUGUAUCCUGUGUUUGACCUAUCCCUUUUAAAUGUGUGGCAGUAGCCUUAAGGGGCCAGGUUGAGGGCCAGUGUCUAGAGGAGAGCACUGUUGUAUCGCCCCUGUAUCUAAAAGGCCCUGAAAUUGUUUGCCAUCAAGCCAAAGAGACAUCA
rnacentral:sRNA from 1 species